UACAUGGGGUGCAAACGUUUGCUCGGAAUCAUUGGGCGUAAAGCGCGCGUAGGCGGUUACUUAUGUCGGAUGUGAAAGCCCUCGGCUUAACUGAGGAAGUGCAUUCGAAACUGGGUAGCUAGAGUACUAAAGAGGGUCGCGGAAUUCCCGGUGUAGAGGUGAAAUUCGUAGAUAUCGGGAGGAACACCGGUGGCGAAGGCGGCGACCUGGGUAGAUACUGACGCUGAGGCGCGAAAGCGUGGGGAGCAAACAGG
rnacentral:rRNA from 1 species